AAUAAAAGAGCGGGCUACUACAUACUACCUCCCUUAACAAAAAUUUCGUCCCGAAAUUUGCAUACUCCGAGAUGUUUAAGGUAACUAAUUUGUCCCUUAUCUUCUACACUUCUUGAUCGUAUUUUUUUUUUUUUUUUUUUUUUUUAGUAUCUUUGUAUAAAAUAUGAUGUUUCCAAUCACUAGAUUAAAGCGGAUAUCAAUGGUAAUCCUAAGUUGUGUGAUUAUCACUAGAUUGCACUUAGCUCACUCGAAGCUGAUUAUUACCAUGCAUGGUGUGGUAGCAAGGAUAUGUAAAGCAUCUCUACUAAACAUGAUAGUGAUAAGUAUUCUUAUAAACUUAUCAUACCUUCCAAGUGUCCCUGGUUAAAAGCAUAAGUUGCCCCCUGUUGUGGUGACUGUUGUUCUUGAGGCUGAAUUUGAAGGUGUCCGCGUAUUGC
rnacentral:lncRNA from 1 species